CUGGAGGAAAACCCGGUGGCGAAGGGCGGCCCCCCUGGAACAAAGACUGACGUUCAGGUGCGAAAGCGUGGGGAGCAAACCGGGUUUAGAUACCCUGGUAGUCCACGCCGUAAACGAUGUCGACUUGGAGGUUGUGCCCUUGAGGCGUGGCUUCCGGAGCUAACGCGUUAAGUCGACCGCCUGGGGAGUACGGCCGCAAGGUUAAAACUCAAAUGAAUUGACGGGGGCCCGCACAAGCGGUGGAGCAUGUGGUUUAAUUCGAUGCAACGCGAAGAACCUUACCUACUCUUGACAUCCAGAGAACUUUGCAGAGAUGCGUUGGUGCCUUCGGGAACUGUGAGACAGGUGCUGCAUGGCUGUCGUCAGCUCGUGUUGUGAAAUGUUGGGUUAAGUCCCGCAACGAGCGCAACCCUUAUCCUUUGUUGCCAGCGGUCCGGCCGGGAACUCAAAGGAGACUGCCAGUGAUAAACUGGAGGAAGGUGGGGAUGACGUCAAGUCAUCAUGGCCCUUACGAGCAGGGCUACACACGUGCUACAAUGGCGCAUACAAAGAGAAGCGACCUCGCGAGAGCAAGCGGACCUCAUAAAGUGCGUCGUAGUCCGGAUUGGAGUCUGCAACUCGACUCCAUGAAGUCGGAAUCGCUAGUAAUCGUGGAUCAGAAUGCCACGGUGAAUACGUUCCCGGGCCUUGUACACACCGCCCGUCACACCAUGGGAGUGGGUUGCA
rnacentral:rRNA from 1 species